rnacentral:rRNA from 1 species
UUGAACGCUGGCGGCAGGCCUAACACCUGCAAGUCGAACGGUAACAGGAAGAAGCUUGCUUCUUUGCUGACGAGUGGCGGACGGGUGAGUAAUGUCUGGGAAACUGCCUGAUGGAGGGGGAUAACUACUGGAAACGGUAGCUAAUACCGCAUAACGUCGCAAGACCAAAGAGGGGGACCUUCGGGCCUCUUGCCAUCGGAUGUGCCCAGAUGGGAUUAGCUAGUAGGUGGGGUAACGGCUCACCUAGGCGACGAUCCCUAGCUGGUCUGAGAGGAUGACCAGCCACACUGGAACUGAGACACGGUCCAGACUCCUACGGGAGGCAGCAGUGGGGAAUAUUGCACAAUGGGCGCAAGCCUGAUGCAGCCAUGCCGCGUGUAUGAAGAAGGCCUUCGGGUUGUAAAGUACUUUCAGCGGGGAGGAAGGGAGUAAAGUUAAUACCUUUGCUCAUUGACGUUACCCGCAGAAGAAGCACCGGCUAACUCCGU